UACGGAGGAUCCAAGCGUUAUCCGGAUUUAUUGGGUUUAAAGGGUGCGUAGGCGGCCUAUUAAGUCAGGGGUGAAAGACGGUAGCUUAACUAUCGCAGUGCCCUUGAUACUGAUGGGCUUGAAUAUACUUGAGGUAGGCGGAAUGUGACAAGUAGCGGUGAAAUGCAUAGAUAUGUCACAGAACACCAAUUGCGAAGGCAGCUUACUAAAGUAUGAUUGACGCUGAGGCACGAAAGCGUGGGGAUCAAACAGG
rnacentral:rRNA from 1 species